CGACGUGAGGAACCUGCCUUGGAGAGGGGAAUAACACUCCGAAAGGAGUGCUAAUACCGCAUGAUGCGGUUGGGUCGCAUGGCUCUGACUGCCAAAGAUUUAUCGCUCUGAGAUGGCCUCGCGUCUGAUUAGCUAGUAGGCGGGGUAACGGCCCACCUAGGCGACGAUCAGUAGCCGGACUGAGAGGUUGACCGGCCACAUUGGGACUGAGACACGGCCCAG
rnacentral:rRNA from 1 species